rnacentral:rRNA from 1 species
GUAGGUGGCAAGCGUUGUCCGGAUUUACUGGGCGUAAAGCGCGCGCAGGCGGCUCAUCAAGUCUGGGGUGAAAUCUCCCGGCUCAACCGGGAGAGGUCUCUGGAUACUGGUGGGCUUGAGGAGAGCAGAGGAGAGCGGAAUUCCAGGUGUAGCGGUGAUAUGCGUAGAUAUCUGGAGGAACACCAGUGGCGAAGGCGGCUCUCUGGGCUCUUUCUGACGCUGAGGCGCGAAAGCGUGGGGAGCGAACCGGAUUAGAUACCCGGGUAGUCCACGCCCGUAAACGUUGGGCACUAGGUGUGGGAGGUAUUGACCCCUUCCGUGCCGAAGUUAACGCGAUAAGUGCCCCCGCCUGGGGAGUACGGCCGCAAGGCUA